rnacentral:rRNA from 1 species
UACGUAGGCAGCAAGCGUUGUUCGGAAUUACUGGGCGUAAAGAGUGUGUAGGCGGUGUUCUAAGUCUGUCGUGAAAUCUCCCGGCUUAACCGGGAGGGUGCGGCGGAAACUGGAAUGCUUGAGGGUGGGAGAGGUAAGCGGAAUUCCUGGUGUAGCGGUGAAAUGCGUAGAUAUCAGGAGGAACACCUGUGGUGUAGACAGCUUACUGGACCACUUCUGACGCUGAGACGCGAAAGCGUGGGGAGCAAACAGG